UCCUGGAAUACACUAAAUGAUGGGAAAUCUGGGUCUCAUGUUUCUGUGGGGUCCUCACCUCACUCAACUUCUGCUCUUUCUGUUCACUCUGGGCUUCCAUGCUCUCAUUAAUAUAGUUCUCAGUUUUCCACUGUUCCGUAUCCCAUUCUGCCUUGGACGCCUUUACUUCCUGCUGCUCACUGAGAAGCUUCAUCAGGAGGCCUGUCCUGGAGAUGAGCUUGGCACAGAUGCUUCUUCAGCUGUGAAAAAAGAAGAGACUGUUUUGAUCAUGAAAGAUGAUGGGACGGCAUGCAUCAGUCCACAGCUGUACGCCCCAGUCACACAGAGUAGGAGUCAGCAAACAUUCGAGUGCCAUUCAGAGAGGAGAAACACACACCCAAUCCUAAACCUACGAAAUGGCAACAA